rnacentral:rRNA from 1 species
CGGAGGAAAAGAAACCGACAAGGAUUCCCCUAGUAGCGGCGAGCGAAGCGGGAAGAGCUCAAAUUUGUAAUAUGGCGUCCUCCGGGCGUCCGAGUUGUAAUAUAUAGAGACGUUUUCCGUGCCGGACCGUGUCCAAGUCCCUUGGAACAGGGUAUCAAAGAGGGUGACAAUCCCGUACUUGACACGACGACCGGUGCUCUGUGAUACGUUUUAUACGAGUCGAGUUGUUUGGGAAUGCAGCUCAAAAUGGGUGGUAAAUUCCAUCUAAAGCUAAAUAUAGGCGAGAGACCGAUAGCGAACAAGUACCGUGAGGGAAAGAUGAAAAGCACUUUGGAAAGAGAGUUAAACAGUAUGUGAAAUUGUUGAAAGGGAAACGAUUGAAGUCAGUCAUGUCCAUUGGAUUCAGCUGGUUCUGCCAGUGUAUUUCCUUUGGACGGGUCAACAUCAGUUUGAGCCGGCGGAUAAUGGCAGAGGGAAUGUGGCACCCCCGGGUGUGUUAUAGCCCUUUGUCGCAUACGCCGGCCCAGACUGAGGAAUGCAG